CCCCAGGGGGGGGGGGGGAGAUGCAGCCUUGAGCAGUGCCUCCUUUUCAGAGCGAGCGGCUGCUGCUGUAUGACGCCCUCCAGGGGGAGCUCCAAGAGCGUAUUCAGCGGCUGGAGGAGGACCGCCAGAGUGUGGACAUCAACUCUGAAUGGUGGGAUGACAAGCUGCACCCCAAAGGGAACUCGAAGUCCUGGGAGUCCUUGCAGACGGGCAAGAGGAAGAAGGCGCCGCUCGUCUCUGGUAUCCUUGUGCGGGGGCCCCGGGUGCAAGACACCAGCUGCCCAGGGGAGGGCAGCCAGCCAUGCGGCCUUGUACGGGCCCCGUCAUGGCCGGGCCAGGCUGGGCUCGGUGGCCUCCCUUGGAACGGGAGGGGGGAGGGGCGGGGGGGCUGCCUCGAGCCUUCCUGCCUCUGUCUCUGCACCGGGCCUGGCAUUGCUGGAGGCGUUUCCACCCUUUGCUUCCUUGACGCGGCCCUUCCAGGCCCUUAUAUCGUCUACAUGCUGGAGGACGUGGACAUUCUGGAGGACUGGGCGGCCAUCAAGAAGGUAAGGCCGGAGGGGGGCUGGCCUAGCAGGGAGCCUGGAUGUGGGAGCGGCGGCGGCGGCCAGGACACGGGCCGGGGGAAGCCAGUCAGAGCCGCAGCACAGAGCCAGGCAGGGGGAUGGCUGGGACGCUGGCCUCGCUGGAACAGGAACACGAGGCUCAGGAAGGGCUUUGAAUGCCGCGUGGAAGAUUCUGGGCUUGUGGCAGGAGAGGCAGCCCUGGAGGGUGCCCAGGAGCUCUCGGGAAGCUCAGGGUGGAGCCUGGUCUGGAGUGGGGAGACUGGCGGGGCGGCCUGAGUGCAGUAGAGGGUGGUGAGGGCCGGCCCCGGGGUCGGGGCUGUGGGAGGAGAGAUGGUGAGGGGGCGAGAGUGGGGGUGGGGCAGCACGUGGCGUCGAGCCCCAGAGGGAGGUCAGGGCGGGUGAAGUCUGAGCGGCACCCGCAGGGGGAUCCCCGAAGCCGUGGGAACAGGGAGCUCAACGGACCGUGCUUGAGGUUAAAGCAGUAAAAGGGAAAGACUUGGAGGAGCCGCCCAGUCGUUCCCUUUAAUCGCCGAGGGAUGGCAGCGGGGGGUCCUUAGG
rnacentral:lncRNA from 1 species